CUCUCUCCCCUAUGUGCUCUCCAUCUCCGUCUUUUUUUUUUUAUCACCCACGACCUGACCACUCCCAUCCCCACCCACAACCCAUGCCCCCGCCAUAGCCCCAGCAGCAACCUACCAUCUCACUCUCCUAAGGGCGGAACCAUGAAUUUUUCAAGGGUAAACUGCCGAAUAUCCCCUAAACUAUCACACAUGGAAAAUCUCCACCCUG
rnacentral:lncRNA from 1 species